CAAUAGUGUGCCUGUUGGUCUAGGAACAGGUUUAUCUCUAGCGUUAGUAGUAGUGGCAGUUGUGUUUUUAGCUGUCCUUAAAAAAAGACACAAAAGGCCAUCUUCAUUAGAAGAAACUAACCAAAGUUAUCAGUCAACACAGAUAUGGAAUAGUGACAUGAGGACCAUUUAUUCUGGACUCUCCGGUAAUUUUGAAAAUG